UACGUAGGGCGCAAGCGUUAUCCGGAAUUAUUGGGCGUAAAGAGCGUGUAGGCGGCCCGAUAAGUCCGCUGUGAAAGUCCAGGGCUCAACCCUGGAAUGCCGGUGGAUACUGUCGGGCUCGAAUCCGGAAGAGGUGAGUGGAAUUCCUGGUGUAGCGGUGAAAUGCGCAGAUAUCAGGAGGAACACCAAUGGCGAAGGCAGCUCACUGGGACGGUAUUGACGCUGAGGAGCGAAAGCCAGGGGAGCAAACGGG
rnacentral:rRNA from 1 species